UUACUUCGGUACGAUCGGUGACAGGUGGUGCAUGGUUGUCGUCAGCUCGUGUCGUGAGAUGUUGGGUUAAGUCCGCAACGAGCGCAACCCCUAUUGUUAGUUGCCAUCAUUCAGUUGGGCACUCUAGCGAGACUGCGGUAAUAAACCGGAGGAAGGUGGGAUGACGUCAAUCAUCAUGCCCUUAUGACCUGGGCUACACACGUGCUACAAUGGUUGGUACAACGAGUUGCGAGUCGGUGACGGCGAGCUAAUCUCUUAAAGCCAAUCUCAGUUCGGAUUGUAGGCUGCAACUCGCCUACAUGAAGUCGGAAUCGCUAGUAAUCGCGGAUCAGCACGCCGCGGUGAAUACGUUCCCGGGCCUU
rnacentral:rRNA from 1 species